rnacentral:rRNA from 1 species
GAUGAACGCUAGCGGCAGGCUUAACACAUGCAAGUCGAGGGGCAGCACGGGUAGCAAUACCUGGUGGCGACCGGCGCAAGGGUGCGUAACGCGUGAGCAACAUGCCCUAUACAGGGGGAUAAUCCAGGGAAACUUGGUCUAAUAUCCCAUAGUAUUUAGAGGUGGCAUCACCACUAAAUUAAAGCUUCGGUGGUAUAGGAUUGGCUCGCGUGACAUUAGCUGGAUGGUGGGGUAACGGCUCACCAUGGCGAUGAUGUCUAGGGGUUCUGAGAGGAAGACCCCCCCACACUGGUACUGAGACACGGACCAGACUCCUACGGGAGGCAGCAGUGAGGAAUAUUGGUCAAUGGGCGCAAGCCUGAACCAGCCAUCCCGCGUGCAGGAAGACGGCCCUAUGGGUUGUAAACUGCUUUUUCCAGGGAGAGAAACUUACGCACGUGUUGCGUGACUGACGGUACCCUGGGAAUAAGCAUCGGCUAACUCCGUGCCAGC